rnacentral:tRNA from 1 species
GGGCGUGUAGCUCAGUGGAUUAGAGCACGCGGCUACGAACCGCGGAGUCGGGGGUUCAAGUCCCUCCACGCCCG